rnacentral:rRNA from 1 species
GACGAAGGGUGCAAGCGUUGUUCGGAAUCACUGGGCGUAAAGCGCGUGUAGGCGGUCCGAUAAGUCGAGUGUGAAAGCCCGAGGCUCAACCUCGGAAGUGCAUUCGAAACUGUCGGGCUUGAGUACGGGAGAGGGAAGUGGAAUUCCUGGUGUAGAGGUGAAAUUCGUAGAUAUCAGGAGGAACACCGGUGGCGAAGGCGGCUUCCUGGACCGAUACUGACGCUGAGACGCGAAAGCGUGGGGAGCACGCAGG